AAGGGAAAGACAUUGCUGUUAUGGGCGUUUGUCUUUCCAAGUAACCAUUACAUGUGAUGCAGCCCUUCUGUCCUGGAGAUGGCUGACCACCUGCCUGCCAAUGGGAAGUGGUGAAUGAAUUACUUGUUUUUCCUUGCUUG